GAAUCCUUCCACGCGGAGCCUCCUUUGGCACUGCCCAACAGGGACAUCGUUGGCCACAGUAGUUCACCUCAUGACGGCGGCUUCGAGGCGGCCCCGAAAACCCACGGAGCCACGCACGAAUUCCUCUCCGAUGCCUCUACAGCGUAUUCGCACGAGUAUCCGAACCAAGCGACGGAAAUCGUUUCGUUGGAUCCUACAUGGACGAUUGAAGUUAUUGGAGUCCAUCUGGGUCCCUUAGCUGAGGUCUCUGUGGGAUGGAGUCCACGGGGUUCAGGGGGCGUCGAGUACCUUGUGUCUUGGGUCGAAGAGUCUGGCUCGGUCUCAGGUCACCUUCUCACAGACCAGGUCACGAGCGAACUCUCUCUGUGGCCGGGCCAGGCAUAUUACAUUCAGGUGGAGCUGAUUGAUAGCCAAGGAAACCCAGUUCUAAGAAGUCUCGCCACACCAGUCAGGUUUGCCAAGACUUCGACCGAGGCAGACGAACAUACAGAGACAAUUGCUGAAGCAGAACACCCUUAUUUGCCCACGACAGACGUGACCAUGUUGACCCACAC